GAUGAACGCUGGCGGCGUGCCUAAUACAUGCAAGUCGAGCGAACAGACGAGGAGCUUGCUCCUCUGACGUUAGCGGCGGACGGGUGAGUAACACGUGGAUAACCUACCUAUAAGACUGGGAUAACUUCGGGAAACCGGAGCUAAUACCGGAUAAUAUAUUGAACCGCAUGGUUCAAUAGUGAAAGACGGUUUUGCUGUCACUUAUAGUUGGAUCCGCGCCGCAUUAGCUAGUUGGUAAGGUAACGGCUUACCAAGGCAACGAUGCGUAGCCGACCUGAGAGGGUGAUCGGCCACACUGGAACUGAGACACGGUCCAGACUCCUACGGGAGGCAGCAGUAGGGAAUCUUCCGCAAUGGGCGAAAGCCUGACGGAGCAACGCCGCGUGAGUGAUGAAGGUCUUCGGAUUGUAAAACUCUGUUAUUAGGGAAGAACAAAUGUGUAAGUAACUAUGCACGUCUUGACGGUACCUAAUCAGAAAGCCACGGCUAACUACGUG
rnacentral:rRNA from 1 species